UGAACGCUGGCGGCAUGCCUAACACAUGCAAGUCGAACGGUAACGCGAGGAGCUUGCUCCUUGGCGACGAGUGGCGGACGGGUGAGUAAUGCUUAGGAAUCUGCCCCGUAGCGGGGGACAACCCGAGGAAACUCGGGCUAAUACCGCAUACGCUCUACGGAGGAAAGCGGAGGAUCUUCGGACUUCGCACUAUGGGAUGAGCCUAAGUCGGAUUAGCUUGUUGGUGAGGUAACUGCUCACCAAGGCGACGAUCCGUAGCUGGUCUGAGAGGACGAUCAGCCACACUGGGACUGAGACACGGCCCAGACUCCUACGGGAGGCAGCAGUGGGGAAUAUUGGACAAUGGGGGCAACCCUGAUCCAGCAAUGCCGCGUGUGUGAAGAAGGCCUGCGGGUUGUAAAGCACUUUCAGUAGAGAAGAAAAGCCUACGGUUAAUACCCGUGAGUCUUGACGUAGCCUACAGAAGAAGCACCGGCUAACUCCGUGCCAGCAGCCGCGGUAAU
rnacentral:rRNA from 1 species